rnacentral:rRNA from 1 species
UGGGGAAUUUUGGACAAUGGGGGAAACCCUGAUCCAGCCAUCCCGCGUGUGCGAUGAAGGCCUUCGGGUUGUAAAGCACUUUUGGCAGGAAAGAAACGUCAUGGGUUAAUACCCCGUGAAACUGACGGUACCUGCAGAAUAAGCACCGGCUAACUACGUGCCAGCAGCCGCGGUAAUACGUAGGGUGCAAGCGUUAAUCGGAAUUACUGGGCGUAAAGCGUGCGCAGGCGGUUCGGAAAGAAAGAUGUGAAAUCCCAGAGCUCAACUUUGGAACUGCAUUUUUAACUACCGGGCUAGAGUGUGUCAGAGGGAGGUGGAAUUCCGCGUGUAGCAGUGAAAUGCGUAGAUAUGCGGAGGAACACCGAUGGCGAAGGCAGCCUCCUAGGAUAACACUGACGCUCAUGCACGAAAGCGUGGGGAGCAAACAGG